AUGUCAUUUCCCACCCCCUCCACCCAGCAAUGUCUUGGUUUUCUUUGGUACACGUGUGCCUCAGAAGUUAUGGCUUAUGCCCUUAGUUCUGACUUCUAAUAUGGAAUAGGCAGGAACACUAUAUCUCUGCACAAGAUUAAAGAAUGCUUCAUAGAAAAUAGGAUAAUCAGGGAAAUAACUGAAAGAUGAUGCAGCUGCAGGAUUCGGAGACGGUGGUGGUGGAGAUGCAGGGACUGGGGUGCAUACGCCGUGUAAUGCGUGACCGGAAGCAAGACGCGAGAGCUCCAGUGGCGCAAUCGAACCUUCAGGAUCCAUUGGUGACUAUAUGCUCACCAAGGCCAAAUUGUAUGGAUUGGAAUUGAGACAGUUCAUAAGCAGCCUUGAGCAGGCACCCUGGACCACCGAGCAAAGGAAAGAGAAAAACAGCCAAGCCUGGAAGGUUACUCUAGAAAAGCUCUAGCUCUGAGGUACUUUAACUUCCUGGACCUCUCCGCAGAGGAAGAAGAGGCCCCGUGCAGGACAACUGGGUUCAUUAUUUAGGUCUCUCCAAUUGCUCUGUGGUUCUCUUUUGUAAUGAGAGCCAGGCCAUCACUGAAUAGAACAGUUUAGAAACUUCUGCAGAUAUAAAGAAAAGCAACACUCAAGCACAGCCUCGCAGUCCAGGCUUUUCCACAUGUGGCUUGUGAAAAAAUAUGAACUACUCUCAUAUAUUUUCCCCAAAGAAGAUACUUUGAUUUUCCUCAAAUACAUUGUUACUAAAUAGAGAAUGCAGCCAAAGUGUGACUGGAAGAGGGCAGAGGAGGCUGGUGAGAGAGGGUAGAGGUCUGUCACCAGGGGGUAGGUGGUUGAUAGUUGUUAAAGAGUUUUAAGCAGGCUUUAUAGUAUGCUCAGGAUCUG